rnacentral:tRNA from 1 species
AGUAGGGUCAGCUAAAAAAAGCUAUUGGGCCCAUACCCCAAAAAUGAUGGUUCAACCCCUUCCCCUACUA